rnacentral:rRNA from 1 species
UACGUAGGGUGCAAGCGUUGUCCGGAAUUAUUGGGCGUAAAGAGCUCGUAGGCGGUCUGUCGCGUCUGCCGUGAAAGUCCGGGGCUCAACUCCGGAUCUGCGGUGGGUACGGGCAGACUAGAGUGAUGUAGGGGAGACUGGAAUUCCUGGUGUAGCGGUGAAAUGCGCAGAUAUAAGGAGGAACACCGAUGGCGAAGGCAGGUCUCUGGGCAUUAACUGACGCUGAGGAGCGAAAGCGUGGGGAGCGAACAGG